UCACCCCGCGCGCGGGGGGGGGGGCUCCCCACCUCCUGAAUAGUAUUCACCUAACAGGGAGAACAAGGAAGGAAAACACAACAAAGUGCACCGUAGGGGAAGCCAGGCAACAUUGGCUAGCCGGACCGAACCACGACACUGCACCGUCGACGCAAUUCAACGGGCACCUCACAAGCCAAGGCAGCACAACGCCGCAACACAGGACCUGCAUCGCAAGGCACAGUCGAAGGCCUCGCAAGGCCGAGACGACGCCACGAGACCUGUGUGCCAACAUAGUAGCCGCACGGACCGCCAAGCAGAGACGCAACAGGAGCACUCGAGCACGACACACACCACCGUCGACCCCAGACCGGCCGCACCACCACCAUCGACCACCC
rnacentral:lncRNA from 1 species